CAAUUAUAUUUCCUAGAAACAGGGCUUAUUUACUUAAGAAGCUAGGUGUGUACAUGUGCCGCUAUCGAAGUAUGAGGGCUUACGUCAUGGAACGCGUGCUUCCACGAGUAAGGGUGAAUUUUGAGAACGGUAAUAUAACCGAGAGCAGGUACUCGUCAGUUGUCCCAUGAUCACAACACACAACAGACGUCCAGCAGUGCUCACUCAAAAUGGCAGCGUUAAGUUUGACGGGGACGACUUCGUUGCUUCGCCCAAAUUCACAAAAGCUGAAGAAUUGCUGUCAACUGGGGAAAAAAUUACAAACUUUGGAACGAUCGUUUGGUAAAUUUGGAAGUUGUCACAACAAAUCAUUAUCUGUAUGUGCUGGAACUAGGAAACAUAAAAAGUUAUUAUCUCGAAAAUUCUUAACUGAACAAAUUAAUAACUUUCAUCGUGCCGUGUCGCCGGUUUUGUCAAAAUCUACAGACGUGAAAUAUCAGCUGAGUCGGCCAAGACUUAGAGAGGAGGAGGACGACGAUGUGUACGAUGGUCUACCUCAGGUGGACACGCCCACAUUUACAGAGGAGGUUUUUAAAGGAAUGUCAACAGAAUUCCCCUGUCUCACCAGAAAUAAGAUGACAGGUCCUGAACCAGACUAUGAUAAGAUUUCCUCUGGCUACAAGACCUUUACAAGCAAAUCCCCUUUUCCUGUAAAAUACAACAACGCUGUCCUGCCUGAGGUUACUAUUGCUUAUGAAACCUGGGGAGAGCUGAACGAAGCCCGUAGUAACGCUGUCAUCAUCCACGCUGGACUGUCCGCCAGCUCCCACGCUAAAAGCCACGAGGAUAACUUUUUACCUGGUUGGUGGGAAAAAUUUGUUGGACCUGGAUGUGCUGUAGAUACCGAUAAAUUCUUUGUCAUUUGUACAAACAACAUAGGCAGUUGUUACGGAUCAACUGGUCCAUCUUCUGUCAAUCCUAUCACUGGAAAGCAAUAUGCCACGACAUUCCCUGUGAUUAGUAUAGACGAUAUGGUCAAUGCCCAAUUUUUACUGCUGGAUCACCUGGGAAUUGAAAAGCUCUACGGCAGUGUCGGGUCCUCCUUAGGAGGCAUGUGUUCCCUCUUGUCAGCGUCUCUACACCCUGAUCGAGUGGAAAGAGUGGUGUCCAUAUCGUCUUGUGCCCAGUCCCAUCCUACAUCUAUAUCGAUGCGAUAUCUCCAGAGGAAGACGAUCAUGUGUGACCCAAACUGGAACAAAGGUUACUACUACAAUGGAAAAUUCCCCAAGAUUGGCAUGAAACUAGCAAGGGAGAUUGCAACCUUGACCUACAGAAGUGGUCCUGAGUGGGACAAGAGGUUUGGGCGAGGCAGGAUAGACAAGAAUGUUUGUCCUUCCUUGUGCCCUUCCUUCCUCAUAGAGAGCUACCUUGAGCACCAGGGUGAGAGCUUCUCUACCAAGUAUGAUCCCAACUCUCUUCUCUACAUAUCUAAGGCCAUGGAUCUGUUUGAUAUAUCUGAGGGCCAUGACUCGCUACACGCCGGUCUGUCGACAGUUCAAUGCCCUACUAUGAUUCUAGGUGUACAGACUGAUAUCCUUUUCCCCAUAUGGCAGCAAAGACAACUCGCACGGAUUUUAAAAGAGUCUGGAAACCCAGGAGUUACCUAUUAUGAGUUAGAUUCUCUUUUUGGACACGACACGUUCUUGUUAGAUCUGAAUGGUGUGGGAGCCGCUACUAAGGGUUUCUUAGAAACAGAAUUACGCAACAAAGGCCACGCUGGGAAAGAGAAAACAUUUACAUGAAAGGCCCGGAGAAUAUAUUCUGAGGCAGGAAAUCCAAGAGACUACUUUUAAUUUCCAAUUAAAUUGAGACGGACUUUUUAGAUAUUGGCCCUCUGGAUUGUGCUGUUGUUUUGUAUGUCUUUCUACAAUAGGAUAUACUGGUGUGAUAUUUACGCUCUGCCUGUAUGCUCGUGUUUCACCUUGAGAAAGGUGAUAAUUUAUUUGUCCCACGUAUAAAACUCAAUAUAAGCGUGGUCUUGAACUGACAACGUAUAUGAUCAUAGGUAAAUCUCGAGGUUUCCAGGACCUGAAUUAACUUCAUACAAGGUUAAGGUCACACAUGAGGGUAAAGGUUCAAAUGUAGAUUUCAUUGCUUCACAAAUCAUUUUCAGGGCUCUCAUUUCAAGGUAAUAAGUCAAAGAUAUAAACUCUUUCGAACUGAAAUUGAAGAUGAGUUUUGCUUCAAAUUCAUGAAAGAUUAUACCACUUAUCGUAGUUUCUCUAUCGGCAACCUUAAACCCGCAAUGAAAUGCAUGGAGAGAGGUUCAAACUGGAAUCUUAAGGUUUUCCUUAAGUACUGCAUAGAUUGCAAUAAAACUUUGUUGUAAACUGUGCUAUUUUUAUAUUUUUUAUUCCAUUACCUUUUGUAAAAUUGUUAAACAUAUCUUAACUACUAGUGUUUUUUUCAUUUCGACCAUUUAUUUUGCAAAUAUAUGCUCAUAUACAUGAACUUUAAUUUUGACUGCUUCAUCUUCCAGACCUUAUAGAUUUUAAUAAAGUUAUGGACAGUUUCAUAACAGUUAAUUGUCUGGACAAAGCCUUCUAGACUUGAUUAAAUUUCAAUAACAUGUUUGUACAUAUAGUGUCCAGUGUCAUAGGUCACUAUUUGAUUAUUCUUGAUUUUGACCGUUUUUGGCAGGUCAGGAACGCGGAGUUUGCCUGUGGCCCACAGUUGUCCUGUCCUUUGGUGUUUGUGAGUGGGACGGGGAGGUUUAAUACCCUAAUAUUCUCUGUGUGUGUAUGUGUGUGUGUGAGUGGGACGGGGAGGUUUAAUACCCUAAAAUUCUAUGUGUGUGUAUGUGUGUGUGUGUGUGAGAGAGAGAGAGAGAGAGAGAGAGAGUGUGUGUGUGUGUGUGUGUGUGUGUGUGUGAGUGGGACGGGGUGGUUUAAUACCCUAAUAUUCUCUACAUAUACUGAUACUA
rnacentral:misc_RNA from 1 species